rnacentral:rRNA from 1 species
AGACAGCAGUCGCCACGGUAAUACGAAGGGGGCUAGCGUUGUUCGGAUUUACUGGGCGUAAAGGGCGCGUAGGCGGACUGAUAAGUCAGGGGUGAAAUCCCAAGGCUCAACCUUGGAACUGCCUUUGAUACUGUUUAUCUUGAGUUCGAGAGAGGCAAGUGGAACUGCGAGUGUAGAGGUGAAAUUCGUAGAUAUUCGCAAGAACACCAGUGGCGAAGGCGGCUUACUGGCUCGAAACUGACGCUGAGGCGCGAAAGCGUGGGGAGCAAACAGGAUUAGAUACCCGGGUAGUCCCUGUCUCUUAUAC